ACAAUGGUGUCUUUAGACACCACCUUUUGUCUUCAAUUUUUUUUCU
rfam:Picea glauca, whole genome shotgun sequence.